rnacentral:lncRNA from 1 species
ACACAAUGCAUUUUCUUUUCUUAUCACUGAACUGUUUUGAAAGAUAAAAGCUACUUCCUGAAUAUGUGGAUGGUGAGCCACGUGAAUGGAAGACAUGGAGAUACGGACUGUUAACACCUUGUCAAACAUUUAUUGUCCCUUCCACCUCUAAACUUCUAUGAUAAUAGGUGAACAGGACCCACAUGGUGUGGAAUACUGCGAUACACACUGCGGAAUAAUUCAGGAAAAUACUGUCAAGGCACAUUCUCAGGGGAUCAAUCCAAGAUGGCUGACUAGAGGCAGCUGUGGUCAGCCCACCUGGGAGCAGCACAGAACCCCCCCCAACCCCCAACCAAGGGAAGUGAAAGAGACAUUAUACAAAUGUGAGCUGUUGUCACAGCAAUGA